UAGGGAAUCUUCCACAAUGGACGGAAGUCUGGUGGAGCAACGCCGCGUGAGUGAAGAAGGGUUUCGGCUCGUAAAACUCUGUUGUUAAAGAAGAACAUAUCUGAGAGUAACUGUUCAGGUAUUGACGGUAUUUAACCAGAAAGCCACGGCUAACUACGUGCCAG
rnacentral:rRNA from 1 species